rnacentral:rRNA from 1 species
AGUGAACGCUGGCGGUAGGCCUGACACAUGCAAGUCGAACGGCAGCACAGUAAGAGCUUGCUCUUACGGGUGGCGAGUGGCGGACGGGUGAGGAAUACAUCGGAAUCUACUUUUUCGUGGGGGAUAACGUAGGGAAACUUACGCUAAUACCGCAUACGACCUACGGGUGAAAGCAGGGGAUCUUCGGACCUUGCGCGAUUGAAUGAGCCGAUGUCGGAUUAGCUAGUUGGCAGGGUAAAGGCCCACCAAGGCGACGAUCCGUAGCUGGUCUGAGAGGAUGAUCAGCCACACUGGAACUGAGACACGGUCCAGACUCCUACGGGAGGCAGCAGUGGGGAAUAUUGGACAAUGGGCGCAAGCCUGAUCCAGCCAUACCGCGUGGGUGAAGAAGGCCUUCGGGUUGUAAAGCCCUUUUGUUGGGAAAGAAAAGCAGCAGGUUAAUACCCCGCUGUUCUGACGGUACCCAAAGAAUAAGCACCGGCUAACUUCGUG